CGCACAAAGGGCGUGCAAGGUUCCCCACACAGACGCAAAGCGUCGGGGAUGAAACUGGGAAUGCGGAACGGGCCGAUCCGAUCAAGGAGGCCCCCAGCCGCAGCCGCCCCCGCGACUGUAUGCGGAGAGUGCGCCGUCGAUGUGCCACUGGGGUCAACCCCGGGAAGGCGACGCCGCACCUUGACCCGCAAGCCAGGAGACCGGCCCUGCACAUUGAAACACC
rnacentral:ncRNA from 2 species